GAACGAGGAUAUAUCCUUCGGGAUAUAAGCCGAGUGGCGGAAGGGUGAGUAAUGCAUAGACAACCUGCCUUUAGGAUAAGAACAACUCUGUGAAAGCGGAGCUAAUACUUGAUAAUACAAAGAAAAGGAUCUUUUCUUUGUCAAAAAAGGGUAUUUAUACCUUUUACCUAGAGAGGGGUUUAUGUCCUAUCAGCUUGUUGGUGGGGUAACGGCCUACCAAGGCGAAGACGGGUAACCGGCCUUAGAGGGUAGUCGGUCACACUGGAACUGAGACACUGUCCAGACUUCUACGGAAGGCUGCAGUCGAGAAUCUUUCGCAAUGCCCGAAAGGGUGACGAAGCGACGCCGCGUGGAUGAAGAAGGCCUUCGGGUUGUAAAAUCCUGUCAGGAGUUAAGAAAUGUAGGUGCGAUAAUACCGUGCUUAUUUGACAAAGGCUCCAAAGGAAGCCACGGCUAACUCUGUGCCAGCAGCCGCGGUAAUACAGAGGUGGCAAGCGUUGUUCGGAAUUAUUGGGCGUAAAGAGCACGUAGGUGGAUUUGUUAGUCAGAUGUGAAAGCCUUUCGUUCAACGGAAGAAUUGCAUCUGAAACUACAAACCUUGAGUAUAGGAGGGGAGAGUGGAACUUCUGGUGGAGCGGUGAAAUGCGUAGAUAUCAGAAGGAACGCCGGCGGCGAAAGCGACUCUCUGGCCUAUAACUGACACUGAGUGUGCGAAAGCUAGGGGAGCAAACGGGAUUAGAUACCCCGGUAGUCCUAGCCGUAAACGAU
rnacentral:rRNA from 1 species